rnacentral:rRNA from 1 species
UACGGAGGGGGUUAGCGUUGUUCGGAAUUACUGGGCGUAAAGCGCACGUAGGCGGCUUUGUAAGUUAGAGGUGAAAGCCCGGGGCUCAACUCCGGAACUGCCUUUAAGACUGCAUCGCUAGAAUUGUGGAGAGGUAAGUGGAAUUCCGAGUGUAGAGGUGAAAUUCGUAGAUAUUCGGAAGAACACCAGUGGCGAAGGCGACUUACUGGACACAUAUUGACGCUGAGGUGCGAAAGCGUGGGGAGCAAACAGG